AUUCAUUAAAUAUUAAAAUACUUAUUUUUAUUAAAAUCUAUUUUGAAGAAUCAAAAUGACUACCAUACAAGAAGAAAUAAAAGAUUUUGUUCGACGUGCUGUUAUUGCAACAGAACCGCAAGAAGCUGUUAAGGAAUAUUUCUUGUCGAAGCAAGAAGACCGUGAUAUUAAGUAACGAAAAAAUUAUUUCAUAUAAUUGUUUUUUGAUACAUUACAAGUAUAUUCUGUGUAUUCUUUUAUUUUCAGUUCGAUAACAAUUAGGAAACUGAUGUAAAAUUCUAUGAAAAAGUAUCCUGAAUGGGAUAAGCCAAGAGUUUACCCAGCAUUCGAAGUAGUAAGAGCGCGUUGUGAAUUAGAAAAAACCGAAGCUAGAUUACAUGCGAAAUGGUUGGAACAACAAAAAAAACGAAAGCUUAUGGAUGAGCAAUGGCAGCAGAUGAGAAAUCAGGAAUUGAUCUUCCGGGAAUCAUUUAUAAAAUUCAAUAGAUUCGUGAAGGAAAAUCAAGAGAAACGUGAUCGUGCUGAUAUUAAAAUUAAAGAAGAACGUGAACGUCAAACGAUUAGACAAGAAGAAAUAAAACAGAUAAAUGAAAAUUUAAAACACAUGUAUGAUGUUCGAGACAGAAUGAAGAAACAUGUACAAGAAUAUCAAAAAUAUUCACAUUAUUUAGACAGAGUUAUUAUCGAAACAGGAGAAUUUCAAUCAAUUUCUGAGAUUUUUAAUCGAUACGAAACAUUAAUAGAAGCACGAUCAAUUUUAACCGAACAUCAAAAUAAGAAUCUUCGAUUAUUAGAAGAAAGAGGAACAGAAAUGCAUCAUAUGUCAGAAUCAAAAGCACAACAAAUUCUAGGAUUGAAUAACACGUUGGCACAAUUACAAGCAAGACGCGAUAAAGCAGAAGUACAAGCUCGUAAAUGGGAAUCAAUUGUUGCUGAAAUAAAAGUAACUGCAAUGGAAAAAAAUUUGGAGCAUACACAAGUGAAAACAUGUUGCUGGAAUCUAUAUCAACAAAUCUGCAAGAAAAAGGAUAUUCCCGUGACUGUGAGCAAAGACGAUAUCGAGCAACAAUUAGAUCAAAUUAAACGAACAAUUAUUGAAUUAAAAUCGAUCAUGAAAAUUGCAAAAAAACGUGUAACAAAAUAAGAAACACAGUUUAUUUGAAAUUAUUUGUUCAACUAUGUGUAAAUAAUAUUCUAAAGAAAUAAAAUAUAUUGAUAAAUAUCUUAUUACUUAUUUUAUAGUAUUUUUACCAGUUUUAUGAAUUGCAUGACUAUGUUGAAGAUUCAGCCGAUUAUCUUCUGCCGGUAAAUGACAACCAGAUAUAUUAUGCAAAAGUUCUGAAUAAUCUUCAUCGAGUCUUUGCUUUAACUUUAUAGUAGCUGCUUCGCGCGUCAAUGGCUGUUCCAAACCUUCGGAUACAAUUUGUAAUUCUUCUUUUUCGACGCAUCUAUAUGAUUUGAUGAUUUUUUUUAACAGGAAAGAGAAGGAUAAUAAGAAAAGGAAAUGGAGAAAAAUAGAUGGAAUGAAAGGACUUACAAGGCACAAGGUUGAGUGGGAGCAAUAUAUUCAAUAGGAGGCACUUUCAAUCUAGGUCUUCUUUCUUCGUCAAUUCGCAAUUGUUGCGUUUUCGUAGUUCUAUCCAGCCAAUAUACUUUGUGGAACAUUUGUGUAAUUUGUUUUUCAAUAAUUCCUAAAUAUAGCAUUACAUUACU